CCUUUCUCUCUGACCUAUCGACAGCCGCCGCUCAAAAACCUCAGCAAACGCUCCUCCCUUUUCCAAUCUCAGCCACCACGAUGUAGAUUUAGGAGAUGGUGGUGCGAGGAGAGCUUUUCUCCGCACCACCGUCACACCCUUCCUCCUUUGGCGCUCCCUUCGUCUUUCGUGUUCGUCGAUUCCUUCGUUGUUUGCAGGUUUGAUGGUUGGUUCCUUGCCGGAGGUUAGGGUUGUGUUGGUUCAUUCAUAUCAACGGUGUCAACUUCGUCGUUUGCAGGUUUGAUCGUUGUUUUGAAUCUGGGAAGUCUGACGCCGCCUUUCUUACG
rnacentral:lncRNA from 1 species